UGCCAGACUCCUACGGGAGGCAGCAGUGGGGGAUAUUGCACAAUGGGGGGAACCCUGAUGCAGCGACGCCGCGUGGGUGAAGGAGUGCUUCGGCAUGUAAAGCCCUAUCGGCAGGGAAGAAGCAAGACGGUACCUGACUAAGAAGCCCCGGCUAACUACGUGCCAGCAGCCGCGGGAAUACGUAGGGGGCGAGCGUUAUCCGGAUUCACUGGGUGUAAAGGGAGCGUAGACGGCCAUGCAAGCCAGGGGUGAAAGCCCGGGGCCCAACCCCGGGACUGCUCUGGGAACUGUGCGGCUGGAGUGCGGGAGGGGCAGGCGGAAUUCCUGGUGUAGCGGUGAAAUGCGUAGAUAUCAGGAGGAACACCGGCGGCGAAGGCGGCCUGCUGGACCGCGACUGACGUUGAGGCUCGAAAGCGUGGGGAGCAAACAGGAUUAGAUACCCCGGUA
rnacentral:rRNA from 1 species